GCAGUAGCCACGGUAAAACGAAGGGUGCAAGCGUUACUCGGAAUUACUGGGCGUAAAGCGUGCGUAGGUGGUGGUUUAAGUCCGUUGUGAAAGCCCUGGGCUCAACCUGGGAAUUGCAGUGGAUACUGGGUCACUAGAGUGUGGUAGAGGAUAGUGGAAUUUCCGGUGUAGCAGUGAAAUGCGUAGAGAUCGGAAGGAACAUCUGUGGCGAAGGCGACUAUCUGGGCCAACACUGACACUGAGGCACGAAAGCGUGGGGAACAAACAGGAUUAGAUACCCCCGUAGUCCCUGUCUCUUAUAA
rnacentral:rRNA from 1 species